rnacentral:sRNA from 1 species
AUAGCUUCAAUCUGGGGAAGGUGAGAACCUUCGACAAGGUUCGCGCCGAGCGUAGCGAGACAACAACGCACUGCGUUGGCCCGAAGGGUGAGGAACGAAGUGACGAAUCAUCCUUCCCCCACCACCA